CAUGGUUGUUGAAAAGAUGAAGAAAUUCCAGCAUAUUCUUACAUCACAGAAUUAAUGGCCAUGUGCAGCUCCUGAAGCAGUCUUGGGAUUGUCCUGCAUUCCUAUUCACUACACAACCACUCCCAGUGCCAGAAGAUGAAUUGCUGCUGCCAUGGAAGAAGAUAAGACAUUUGAAUCUUGUUACUGAACCCAUAUUCUGAGGAUGAGUCGGUACUUCAUCUACUUGAGUGGAAAAGGCCUGCCCCAGCUCAGUCAUGUGAUGCUGAAUUAUUUCUCAGAGUGAGCACCCUGAAGAAAUCCCAAAUGUUCUUUCAGAUAGUCUGCUAAAUCAGUGGACAAGUGAGCUCCCAC